rnacentral:rRNA from 1 species
UAAAACGUAGGAGGCGAGCGUUAUCCGGAUUUACUGGGCGUAAAGCGCGCGCAGGCGGUUCUGUAAGUCGGACGUGAAAGCCCCCGGCUCAACUGGGGGAGGUCGUUCGAUACUGCAGGACUUGAGGUCGGGAGAGGGAGGCGGAAUUCCCGGUGUAGUGGUGAAAUGCGUAGAUAUCGGGAGGAACACCAGUGGCGAAGGCGGCUUCCUGGCCCGCACCUGACGCUAAGGCGCGAAAGCGUGGGUAGCGAACGGGAUUAGAUACCCCGGUAGUCCACGCCCUAAACGAUGGCAACUAGGUGUUGGGGGCUAUUAACCCCCUCAGUGCCGAAGCUAACGCGAUAAGUUGCCCGCCUGAGGACUACGAGCGCAAGCUUA